UGGCAACGAAGGAGAGGGAAAGGUAAAGGAAGGAAGGAACAGUAAAGGAGGUUAGCUUAACCAAGGGGUUUAGAAUCCCAAUCCCAAAGCAGAUAAGGCAUGGAAGGAGGGUAUAAUCGCGCAGACCAGGGACUCGAACGAAACGCGCACCCUACUACCCGUGACGGCACCUGGAUCCUGCCUCCGUCCCGCUGUCGGCGAAGAUGCUGCGACGGUCCCGAGCUGCUCCCGUGGUAGUGCCGGAAGGGUUCAGCUCCACGCGUCGGCGGCGGCAAUGGGUCCUCUUCCGCGGCCUCCUCGGGAGGGUCAACGGUCGCAGGGGGCAUCCUCAACGUCCGUUGGAGUUCUCCAAGCACCGUCGGCAAUGCGACAGGCACGGCCGCCUCAUGGGGAGGCUCUCUCCUCUCACCUCCCCAACGCCGCACCUACGGUUGGCCCUCUCCGGGAUGAAGCAAGAACUGCUGGAUACCCUCCGCAUGUUCCUCACCUCACGCAUACCACGGCCCCACGGCGAGCAAGAACUGCCCACGCUGCCCCAGCACGUCAUGAUACACGGAAUGAACAGGCGGUAGCUCGAGAUACCUCUGAGUAGUCAGGACGUCAGUAGCAGGUUGGGUUCUGUAUACUACCUGCUGUCACUACUUCUAAAGGUACUAAGGUCGUCACUACCAUCGUCACUAAUACUUGUACGUUCCCAGUUUGUGAAACGAGUCCUUCCGAAGAGUUCCCUACAACCACUUAGACCUCAAUGAGUACCGGCGAACGAGAAAGUCAUGGAGCUCAAACUAAGAGGCAAAACGGCACUUGGAAACUGACUAUUCUAAAGAUCGGAAAGUCGGUCUAAAAGUCCUAACUCCUGGGAAUCCUCAACACUAAAUAGUCGCGCAUCAACCUACUCGUAGCGAACCAUGGGUUAAAUAGCAUAGGGAUGACCUGGUUGUAAUUUUCUAAAUCUACGGACGAAAGAGUGAAAGGUAGUCGAAAGUUUAACGGGCGUUCCUCUAUUAGACACCCGAGGACUAUUAGACACCCGAGGACUAUCGUGUGGUUUGUAUGGUGAGGGUCAAAAACCAAACCGAAGGAUGUUCAAAUCGUUGAGUCAGACCAGGAGUUGACUACCACUAACCUUUGACCGAUCGACGAAUUCUCGAGUACUUUCUUACAGGCUUCUCACAGAACACUUGUACUAAUUCAAGGUUCACUGACUGACCAACUGACGAAGGUUUAGACUACGUACAAUGGUGUUCUAAACUUCGAACCUACGUAUGUAGGUUGGCUACGACCUUUUUCUCCGGCGCCGUCAAAGAUAAUUUAACACUAAGUUUAAAAUAACAUAACCUGAUCUGCAUCAUGUAUGCCACACCCGGAAACGCAACCAUGGCUGCACAUACUAAUAUUGAACAAAUGAACAGGAAGUUCCUGAAAAUACAUAACGGGAGUAUACAUGGGGUAUAUCAGCGUGCAUUUCUGCUACACAGCAGAGCACGAACAUUAUGAUUAUCAUUAACACGGAUGCACACAAGCACAAAAAGAGGGUAUUCCCAAAAA
rnacentral:rRNA from 1 species